UCCAGGGUAGCCUAGUGGUCAUGGCAUCUGCCCGGUAAGCGGAAGGUCGUGGGUUCGAUUCCCAUCCCUUGAAA